AUGGCUCAGAUUGAACGCUGGCGGCAUGCUUUACACAUGCAAGUCGAACGGUAACAGGUUAAGCUGACGAGUGGCGAACGGGGUGAGUAAUGCAUCGGAACGUGCCCAGUCGUGGGGGAUAACGCAGCGAAAGCUGUGCUAAUACCGCAUACGAUCUAUGGAUGAAAGCGGGGGACCGUAAGGCCUCGCGCGAUUGGAGCGGCCGAUGUCAGAUUAGCUAGUUGGUGGGGUAAAGGCCCACCAAGGCGACGAUCUGUAGCUGGUCUGAGAGGACGACCAGCCACACUGGAACUGAGACACGGUCCAGACUCCUACGGGAGGCAGCAGUGGGGAAUUUUGGACAAUGGGCGCAAGCCUGAUCCAGCAAUGCCGCGUGCAGGAAGAAGGCCUUCGGGUUGUAAACUGCUUUUGUACGGAACGAAACGGUCUGGGCUAAUACCCCGGGCUAAUGACGGUACCGUAAGAAUAAGCACCGGCUAACUACGUG
rnacentral:rRNA from 1 species